AAGAGAGAGGGGAUGUUAGGGAAGAUACCAUUGUCAGGGGAGAUACCAUCCCGAGGACAUACAACAUCCUUAGGACCUCCUGACUCCUGGGAUCAGUCGACGGGCUGAGCCUCUCUUCCCCCCCCAUUGGGACGCCUUUGGUCUCAGAAGAGAUAUUCUUCAACUGGCAGUUCAACACAGUAAGACCAUCUGCAAAAACAUUUACACCUGAAAACAUCCAAAGACUGCCACUCAAGCAGCAGUUCAUAUUCAAGAACAUUGGAAGACAGAAGAAAAUAAUGUGAUGGAGACAGACUGGAGAAGCUGAGGGAAAAAAUAUUUUAAAUGCAACCUAUCUUUUAAACAUUUAUCUUUGAACUGCUCUCUCUGGACCUAUUCUUCUCAUGAAGCAGCAGUAAGAUGGUUAAGUGUCAGCACUCAUUAAAUAAGCACCAGAGCUACAAAAUGAAGCCCAGGGUAUA
rnacentral:lncRNA from 1 species